rnacentral:lncRNA from 1 species
ACUGGGUUUCGAUCAGAGCAGGGGGAACCGGGGAAGAACAAGCAAACCCUUGUUUGCAAAAUUCCAGCAAUAUACUUGAAAUCUCAAGGAGAAUCUAAUGCAUGAGCCUCUAUUUUCGAGCGUGAAAGAAGAAGGCUCAAACACUAAGAAAACGGGAGACUCACAGGAUCGAGGUAAAUCCUCAAGCUAGGCGGUCGGACGAUUUGGAAUGAGCACACUUGAUCUACGCCCACUACACGCUUCCGUCAUAAGUGAAUAUAAUGUGGUCUAAACUUUUGGUCUUAUGUACUUUAACUUGUGUAGUAUUUUGAUGUCUUUAUGGUUUGGUUAAAAACUUAUUAGUGGUAGUCUUGUUGUAAACAACUUAAACGUAUGGUUUUGGGUUUUUGUCAAGGAUGUUUUAUGUAGAAAUGGUUUAUCGUAUAAAACAGGUGUUAGUGGUCUAUUUACGUACGGGUCAUGCCGAAAUUUCUAACAUCUAUUAUCCACGUUAAGAUCUUUUGAAAAUGAUAAGUUAGAG